rnacentral:rRNA from 1 species
GAUGAACGCUGGCGGCGUGCCUAAUACAUGCCAGUCGAGCGAACGGACGAGAAGCUUGCUUUUCUGAUGUUAGCGGCGGACGGGUGAGUAACACGUGGAUAACCUACCUAUAAGACUGGGAUAACUUCGGGAAACCGGAGCUAAUACCGGAUAAUAUUUUGAACCGCAUGGUUCAAAAGUGAAAGACGGUCUUGCUGUCACUUAUAGAUGGAUCCGCGCUGCAUUAGCUAGUUGGUAAGGUAACGGCUUACCAAGGCAACGAUGCAUAGCCGACCUGAGAGGGUGAUCGGCCACACUGGAACUGAGACACGGUCCAGACUCCUACGGGAGGCAGCAGUAGGGAAUCUUCCGCAAUGGGCGAAAGCCUGACGGAGCAACGCCGCGUGAGUGAUGAAGGUCUUCGGAUCGUAAAACUCUGUUAUUAGGGAAGAACACAUGUGUAAGUAACUGUGCACAUCUUGACGGUACCUAAUCAGAAAGCCACGGCUAACUACGUG